rnacentral:lncRNA from 10 species
AAUUAAAAUUAUUUCUAGUUGUAUAUAUCAUCAAAAAUGAAGAACUAGAAGAAGGAAUAUACUAAUAUUUCACAAGAGUAUUAAAUCUGAUUUUAAGUGAUCAAAAUAAAAAAAUUAAUAUAUAAGAGAUAUAUGGUGGAUGUAGAAUCUUAGGGACUCAGAAAAUGAUUAUACAUGUAUGGAGAAGAAAAACUAGAAGUCAGAAAUGACCCAGGGCUUUGAUCCUCGGCAGAGAUAUCAACAAAGACAGAGAAGAUAAUGAGCUAGCUGUGGGGUAAAUGGUGAGGAGACAUGAUGAAUAUAAUUUAAAUGAAACUAUAAAUAUAAUGAAUUUAACAGGCACAAUAGUCUGUUCUUUCAUGUAGGCAGAGAAGGAAAGUUAGAGGCAAAACACAUCUUUGGGGGUGUACUGGGAGAUAAGAAAGGAGAGAUUUUAAACAAUGAGUGAGAAUUGCUGAUAGUAAAUACAUGUAUAGAAUAAUCAAGAAGAAUAUGGAAUUGUACCACUGCACUCCAGUCUGGGUGACAGAGUGAAACGUUACCUCAAAAAAAAAAAUAGAGAAAUGGCAACAAAAGUUAUUAGUAACUAUGCAGAAACAAAUUUAAAAAUAGAAGGGUGUAUUCAACUAGAACAGUGACUUUCUUUUUUCAGACGUAGGAAGAAAGGAAGAGAGAAGACGGAAGGGAGGAAGAGAGACAGUAAGGGAGGGAGCAAGGAAGAAAAGAGGGAAAGAAAAGGAGUGGUAAUGCUAUAAAGAUUAUGCAUAAGAAGGAGCCCAAAUAUAAAGGAAAAAAUUUCCCGGAGUCCUUAAAUACCUUAAUAAAGGAAAUUUGUCUGCAGAGAAUAAGCGACCAGGAAAACAUUGCGAGCUUGAAAGCUCAUAAGAUUAAGCAUUGCUGCUAGAGGUAGUGAUUGACACAGAGCAUUGAAAAUUCAGGACAGGCCAUUUGAAGCCCAAGUAAGCUAUUUCACACAUGUUUUUAGUGAUGUCAGUCAACUGAGCCUGACAGUUUGGAAGCACAAACAAAGAUAUAUGGUGAGGAGGCUUUUGAGGACCCAGGGUUGGCAAGGGCAGAAUUGAAUGUCUGUCAGGGUAGUGAGAUUAACAAAUAAGAGCAAGCCUAGUUAUUUAAAGGAGUGGGCAAGAAUUUAACUUUCAUGGUCCCUAAGCAACUUUGCCAUCAUGGUUCCUUUUUCUCAUUAAAAAUUAUAUGUUAUAUUUGUGUUGAUAUAAAGACAAAUAUCUUGAUAAUAUGUAUUAAAACAUUUUCUUCUUAGAGGUCAAUUGUUUUUCUAACCAUAAAAGAAGGUAAAACAGUUUAUUGAAUGUUAAAAAUAGUGUGGAGCCUUGCUAUUGUGCUUACUGUGCCUAGUGGAAAAGUUUCCUCUGCUUUAGAAAUUGUUACAAACCAGUUGAACUUCUUGGAGAUUCCCUCUUCAAAAUUAUAAAACAUCUGAGCAUGGUGGCUCAUGCCUGUAAUACAAACACUUUAGGAGGCCAAUGUCAGAGGAUCAAUUUAGGCCAGGAGUUUAACACUGGACUGGUCAACAUAGCGAGUUCCCAUCCCUAUAAAAUAAAAAAAUAGCCAGGUGUGGCAACAUGUGCUCGUAGUCCCAGAGCUAUAAUCACUCCACUGUACUCCAGCCUGGACUACAGACAGACACCCUGUCUCAAAAUAAAAAAAAAAUAAAAAAUAAAAAAAGAAAGAAAUAAAGGAAGAAGAAAGAAAAAAGAAAAGAAUUCUAUAACACUACUGACUUUUUAGUAAAGUAUUGAGGGUCUACUGAAGCCAAUGUUAGUUCUAUUUCUUUGAUCUACUAGGGUAGUUUUGUUUUUAGUUUGUUUUAUUGUGUUUUCUAAAUUUUAUUUUACCAAACUGGAGUGCUGUGAACAUAAAUGAGGAUGUGGAAGUCACCUGGUUGUGUCAAAUAAAUAUAACUUAAAGAUGUAUAGGUAAUCUUAAACUUGCUAACGAUUAUUCUUUUCUCCCUUUUUAGGAAAUGAAUGUAUUUGUUAAUUGUGUUUUCAAAGGAUUUUAUAGGUAUGAGAACCACAGUUCAAGUGCAAAAAAAAGUUAUCCACAGGCCACCCGAAUCCUAGUUACACUGGAGAUGUUUUUCCAGUAUAAAUUUCUAGCCCGUCAAAUCAGAAUUUCUGAAGGUGGAGCUCAGGAAAUUCAUUUUAACAAUAUCUCCAGAUCAUUUGUAUGGACUUUAACUGUGGAGACUCAGAUGUCGAGAUGAUUUAUAAACGCUCUUGAAAGUCUAAGAUUUUAUAAUUUUAAGAUCAAUACCUGUAAAAAAAAAAACAUAGUGUGAACUAAGGCAUUAUUAAAGGUAAAAUGGGCCAAUUGUUCAAUUUGAGACUUGUUUUAUCAACUGAGUACAAAAGGGAAGUAACUUCAUUUAUUUCCCCUUUUAUUUUGCUAUUGAAGUGAGGGGAAUUGCUUGUUGGUCACAUAUGUAGCCUAAUCACUUACUGCCAGAAAAGUUUCCUAGGUGUGCUUUAAGUGUGCACAGAGAUGCUACUUAGCAGGUGCCUGCGGAGUUGAUGGCCCACAUACUGCCUCGAUCUGGGGCCUCUGGGAUUUAUUUGGUGCUUUGAUGGUGAUUAAAUGGUGCCUGACUCUUUGUAAGGGUUCAGGAAACAUCUUUGUUGUUUGAUUCAUUCCCAGGGAGUGACUUUGGAAUAGG